CCUACGGGCUGCACCAGUGGGGAAUAUUGGACAAUGGGCGAAAGCCUGAUCCAGCAAUGCCGCGUGUGUGAAGAAGGUCCUCGGAUUGUAAAGCACUUUCGACGGGGACGAUGAUGACGGUACCCGUAGAAGAAGCCCCGGCGAACUUCGUGCCAGCAGCCGCGGUAAUACGAAGGGGGCUAGCGUUGCUCGGAAUGACUGGGCGUAAAGGGCGGGUAGGCGGUUUAUGCAGUCAGAUGUGAAAUCCCCGGGCUUAACCUGGGAACUGCAUUUGAGACGCAUAGACUAGAGGUCGAGAGAGGGUUGUGGAAUUCCCAGUGUAGAGGUGAAAUUCGUAGAUAUUGGGAAGAACACUGGUGGCGAAGGCGGCAACCUGGCUCGAUACAGACGCUGAGGCGCGAAAGCGUGGGGAGCAAACAGGAUUAGAUACCCCUGUAG
rnacentral:rRNA from 1 species